CCCAUCGGAGAAGAGGAGCUGCUCUCCUUCAUCAUUGCCAGGCUAGAAUGGACUAUCAGCCCAUCAUAUCAGCCUGGACGUCCGCACCGAGUCCGUCUCCAUUGAUGAGCUGUUCGCAAUGGUGGCGAACUUCGAUC
rnacentral:snoRNA from 1 species